rnacentral:rRNA from 1 species
AGCAGCCGCGGUAAUUCCAGCUCCAAUAGCGUAUACUAAAGUUGUUGCAGUUAAAAAGCUCGUAGUUGAAUUUCGGGGUUAGUAGGUUGGUCGUGCCUAUGGUAUGCACUGGCUUUACUGAUUCCUCCUUCUUGAAGAACUGUAAUGUCAUUAAUUUGGUGUUGCAGGGAAACAGGACUGUUACUUUGAAAAAAUUAGAGUGUUUAAAGCAGGCUCGCGCUUGAAUACAUUAGCAUGGAA